rnacentral:sRNA from 2 species
AAUGGGGAGUAGCUUGCUUAAUAGCGUUAAUUAGUUAUUAAGAUUUCGUGUCAACAUACUUGAACAUUCUUUGUUCAUGGCACGAAUGCCGAAUCGGUUAGCAAGACCAUAAACAUAUUAUUCGCCUGUGUGUUGGGGGGCGAAUUGUGUGUCUAUGGAAAUGCCCGACUGAGAUUUUCGU